AAACGGCAUUAUGUGCUUGCACAUUUUGGACGUCGACCGGCGCACGGGUGAGUAUCGCGUAUCCAACCUGCCCUUUACUUGGGGAUACCCCGUUGAAAGACGGCCUAAUACCCGAUGUAAUUCAUUGACGGCAUCAGAUAUGAAUAAAAGAUUUAUCGGUAAAGGAUGGGGAUGCGUCUGAUUAGCUUGUUGGUGAGGUAAUGGCUCACCAAGGCAACGAUCAGUAGGGGUUCUGAGAGGAAGGUCCCCCACAUUGGAACUGAGACACGGUCCAAACUCCUACGGGAGGCAGCAGUGAGGAAUAUUGGUCAAUGGGCGCAAGCCUGAACCAGCCAAGUAGCGUGCAGGAAGACGGCCCUAUGGGUUGUAAACUGCUUUUAUACGAGAAUAAUUUGAUGCACGUGUGCGUUAUUGCAUGUAUCGUAUGAAUAAGGACCGGCUAAUUCCGUGCCAGCAGCCGCGGUAAUACGGAAGGUCCAGGCGUUAUCCGGAUUUAUUGGGUUUAAAGGGAGUGUAGGCGGUUUGUUAAGCGUGUUGUGAAAUUUAGAUGCUCAACAUUUAACUUGCAGCGCGAACUGUCAGACUUGAGUACACGCAACGUAUGCGGAAUUCAUGGUGUAGCGGUGAAAUGCUUAGAUAUCAUGAAGAACUCCGAUUGUGAAGGCAGCAUACGGGAGUGUAACUGACGCUUAAGCUUGAAGGUGCGGGUAUCGAACAGGAUUAGAUACCCUGGUAGUCCGCACAGUAAACGAUGGAUGCCCGCUGUUAGCGCCUGGCGUUAGCGG
rnacentral:rRNA from 1 species